UGCGUGUGUGUGUGUGUGUGUGUGUGCGUGUGUGUGUGUGUGUGUGUGUAGGCGUGGAGGGGGAACAUUUACAAAUGCAACAACCCGUGUGUAAUGUGACCUGCCUGCCCGAGUUGUUCACUUCUCUGAGUGCCACAGCUUCACUGCCAGCUGCCUUCCGUUAUUGUAAAAGGAGAGAGACCACCCUAAGGAAAGGCAUCCCCUGCAGAACCAGCAUGGGCUGAAGUUUGCUUCUCACCUAUGUGUGUGGUGCACCGACCAUCCAGCCAUGCUGCAAAGGCUUUUUGCAGUGAGCGGUUAGAGAACACACACUCAUCCAGAGAGAUGCUUGGAGGAGCAGACAAAGCAGUUAGUAAGAACAGAAAGAUCUAAGAACAAGAGGUGAUCAACAAAGUAAUAGAUGUUUCUGCACAGACAGGAAUUACAGGAAUUUCUAACUGUUUGCUAUAGAGUUAUCAAGAACCAAGAGUUUUAAAAACAGGAAAAAUAUUUAUCAUAGGAAAAGGAGGAAUCAAAGACAUUUCCAAAGGCAAAUUAUGAUUCAGACUUUUUGCCAGGACAGUUUUUAUUGGUACACUUAGAUAAGCAAUAACAUAACUAUAUAUUAAAAACUAUAGCAGGUUCCUCUACAUAAAGGAAUAAUAAAAUAUCUACCUUGACCUUAACAAAGCAACCUUUUUCUAGUGAAGGCAUCCACCAGCAGCAGUCUGGAUCCAUCAUUGAUAUUGCUUGUUUGGAGGUCUCCUUUCUGUGAAAAUGCUCUCCGUGACAGUUCAUCUGCGUUGGUCUCCAUCUUUUUCUUCAUUGUCUCCCAAGGAUAUAUUCUGCUUCUGGUGAAAUGCAUGCAUACAGCUCAGACCUUGGAAGUCUUCUGGCAAAUCAUCACCUGCACUACAGUACAAAGAGUUUUCCAAGAGGGUGCCAUUUGGUUCCAGAGUCUGCAGCCCUGUCCUGGGACACACAGCACCACUUUGAUACAAGCUUCUUCCAGAAACUUCAGUAGAAUUGCACAUCAUAUAAUUCAAAGUGAGUGAAUUUAAUAACAGGUGCCCUCAGCUUUGAAAACAGGUGCCUCAUAAAUAGCAUCCAGACAUUAGAAAACCCAAGGACUCCUGAGGACCUCACAAAGCAUAAAAGGAAGCAGCAUUAAUACAUGUUUUGGAGGAAUCUGGUGCCAAAAGAAGAGCAGAUAUUAAAAGCAAACAUCGGGGGAGUGGGGGGGAAAGAAGUGUUUUGAAUAGUUGCUAAAGGGUUAGGCAUUGGGGAGCUGUAAAACUUCCUCAGCCAUUCUUGUUGCUACUGUUUUCCUACAUUGUCACUAAUACCCAAGCUACUGUAGUAAUUUAAUUUUACUUUAUUGCACUGCUUUUCCAGCCCUUCUAAUGAGAUAAACAUUUCUGACUGUGUUGAAACUUGAGGUGACAACAAUUUGCAGACCAGAACAGACUAGACACAGAGUAUGAACUACACAAAUUAUAAAUAAAAAGGAAGAGAGGAAAAAAAGAAUAUAUUUUGCAUUCCUUGGAGCCAGACCAGAGAAUAAGGACCCCAGUUCUCACUGCUGAGAGGUAUUUGAGAUAGUGGGGAGUUGGCUCAGAUCAUGACUAUCCAUAAAGUUUGGCUUCAAGACAAAACUGGCUUUCUGAUUACGUUAUGCAGGAGGAUGGCUGCCUUUGUGGUUCACGUACUUGAACUGUGCUCAGGAGGAUGACCAGUUUGAACCUCACGGGUGACCUUUUACAGGAGACGUAGAAAAUGCCUACUUUGUGCAAGGAGGGUGUGGCGUGAAAGCUAGUUUAUGUAGUAGUGCUAUGUCCAGAAGCAAUACAGCUGUGGAAGUACAGAGCUUUGCCAGGGCUGCUUUCCUUUCUAGAGGAGCUCCACACAGUACCGGCACAGCUAUCCUGCUUCCUGACACCCUGAACAACAGAGACAGACAGACCAUCUCGUUCGGAGGUAGCUUGGUUUAUGUUUUUGCACCUUACUCUGGACAGAACAGCCAUCGUCUCUCUCUGCUCAUCCUUUGCCUGUUCCUAAACAAAAUCAUUUCUUUCCCACUCCUUUAUCUGGAGAUCUGUCCCACUUCAUCUUUGUUCUGCAAUAUUACCUAAUGUCCUAGUGUUUACUACAAUACUACAUACUACAGUACUUCAACUACUAUUACUUUUUAUCUUGUUACCUUUUACUAAAUCAUAUGAUUAUCUCCUACUUCUCACUUUCAUGCACCAAACCAUCCUUGACCACUUUGUUUGCUAUAUGUUUUGUCAGCAUAACUUUUGUUGGUAAUGCCACACCCUUUUAAGAGUAUUUUGGGAAAGUAACAAUAAGCAGGUCAUUUUUUGUAAAUACAUUUUGUCACACCAGGGAAGAAGAGGUUACAUUGCAAGGACAAAUGUGCCAUGAUUUCCAGGGGCACCUAUCCGUUUAGAAGCCAUAACUGCAGGUGAAAGAGAUCUUGUGGCAUCACACUGACGUCCACAGCAGGGUAGCAGAGAAAGCCUGUAGUGAAUGGCUCUACAGUGAGAAACUUUGAUGACUUGGGCUCAUGCUGAGAAAAGUAGUUGUGCUGAAGUAAUACAAUAAAGUAGAAAACAAUAUAUCCUCCUACUCAAUUGUUCUUUCUGGGUAGUUUUUAAGUAUUCUGAACCCCAGGUCAGAAUCUGCUGUAUUUCCAACUGAGCUCCAUCGUUUUACAUCAGUCGAGAAUUUGGCCUUCUCUCUUUUGUGCAGGGAAGGGUUAUAUUAAAUUUAACACCUAAUAUCACUCUCAGUUACACAGUGAUAAAUCUGAAGUUACUCUAUGCUUUUGAGCUCAAAGUACUGAGCACAAAUCCAAUAGGUUUAUUCCACUUUUACAGUGAAAUAACAGAAAAUAAGAUGUGCUUCAGGACAUUAAGACCAGAAGUAACAUACAGUAAAAGGAAUAAUCUUGGAAAUAAAUUAUUGGGAUUGUAAAAAUACAAGAAAUAAAAAUCUCCAUAGGCAAGGAGAGAAGAGUUAAGACGCUCUGCCUGGAAUUGCAAUCUAUUUUCUUCUCCCGGUAGAAGCUGUCCUGGACCAGAUAUGCCACCUGCUGUCUCUGAUAUAUGUCUCCUGCUUCCCCAUAUGCUUCAAGUAUAUGCUUGCCUAUCACUCUGCAGUCAGCCAGCAGCUUUAAAAUGUCACACUGAUAGCUUUCUUGGUGACACUCCCCACCCUCUGUGCUCAUGACUUAAUUUGUAGGUCUCAAGUCUACUUAUAUACACAUGAAGACAGAACCAAGGAGGUGGUUUACAAUGAAUUUCUUGAGCAGUGCUACAACAGCGAACGCUGGAGUGAGCUAAUACAUAUGAUUUCAUUGGCCUGUGGCCUGUAGGGACAGAAGAGACAUCACAAUCAUGUCGUCAGAUACUCUGCCCUUUACAGACCACAGAUUUUUCAUUGGCUGAUUCACAGAUUAAUAUCUUCAAGGUCACUCAGGCCACAGAAUGAUAUUGAACUAAUAACUUCUGUUUGACUCAUAAAUCUUCCAGCAAGGUUUCUGUAAGGCUUCAGGAAAUAGAAAAAAUCAUACUUUUUCUCAGUACUUUGUUCCAAAUCUUGACAG